CACACUGUGCUUGCACACCGUGUUUUCUUGAGUCGCGAACGGGUGAGUAACGCGUAGGUAACCUGCCUAUUAGCGGGGGAUAACUAUUGGAAACGAUAGCUAAUACCGCAUAAUAUUAAUUAUUGCAUGAUAAUUGAUUGAAAGAUGCAAGCGCAUCACUAGUAGAUGGACCUGCGUUGUAUUAGCUAGUUGGUAAGGUAAGAGCUUACCAAGGCGACGAUACAUAGCCGACCUGAGAGGGUGAUCGGCCACACUGGGACUGAGACACGGCCCAGACUCCUACGGGAGGCAGCAGUAGGGAAUCUUCGGCAAUGGACGAAAGUCUGACCGAGCAACGCCGCGUGAGUGAAGAAGGUUUUCGGAUCGUAAAGCUCUGUUGUAAGUCAAGAACGUGUGUGAGAGUGGAAAGUUCACACAGUGACGGUAGCUUACCAGAAAGGGACGGCUAACUAC
rnacentral:rRNA from 1 species